GCUCUUCAACCAAAAAUCAUUGCAUGUGGUAACACAGUGGCUACAUUUGCAAUGGCUGUAAGGUUUCUAACUGGCCCAGCAGUUAUGGCUGCUGCUUCAAUUGCUGUUGGGCUACGUGGUACUCUUCUUCAUGUAGCCAUUGUACAGGCUGCAUUGCCACAAGGGAUUGUCCCAUUUGUGUUUGCUAAGGAGUACAAUGUUCA
rnacentral:misc_RNA from 1 species